UGGGGAAUUUUGGACAAUGGGCGAAAGCCUGAUCCAGCAAUGCCGCGUGUGUGAAGAAGGCCUUCGGGUUGUAAAGCACUUUUGUCCGGAAAGAAAUCCUUGGCUCUAAUACAGUCGGGGGAUGACGGUACCGGAAGAAUAAGCACCGGCUAACUACGUGCCAGCAGCCGCGGUAAUACGUAGGGUGCAAGCGUUAAUCGGAAUUACUGGGCGUAAAGCGUGCGCAGGCGGUUUGCUAAGACCGAUGUGAAAUCCCCGGGCUCAACCUGGGAACUGCAUUGGUGACUGGCAGGCUAGAGUAUGGCAGAGGGGGGUAGAAUUCCACGUGUAGCAGUGAAAUGCGUAGAGAUGUGGAGGAAUACCGAUGGCGAAGGCAGCCCCCUGGGCCAAUACUGACGCUCAUGCACGAAAGCGUGGGGAGCAAACAGGAUUAGAUACCCUGGUAGUCCACGCCCUAAACGAUGUCAACUAGUUGUUGGGAUUCAUUCCUUAGUAACGUAGCUAACGCGUGAAGUUGACCGCCUGGGGAGUACGGUCGCAAGAUUAAAACUUAAAGGAAUUGACGGGGUCAUAGCUGUUUCCU
rnacentral:rRNA from 1 species